AGUCGGGCUGGCUGGUUGGCUGGCGCCUGCGGGAGUUGACGCCGGGCGGCCCCUGCACGCCCGGAAAGAGAAAUUGGCGGGCAGAAGUGCUCGGGUGAAAAAAGUCUGUGAAAGCACCGUGUUUCUCCUCCGGUCCACAGCGAGAAUGCCGCGCGUCUCGGGAGAGCCGGCCCGCCGCUCGGCACGCGGCCCAGCUGCGCUCCGCGGGACCCGCCCCACCCACACGCCGCCGGGCGCAGGGCGCUGCUGUUACGCUGAUCCGCCCAGAGAGUUCUCCCCGAGACGGGAGACCCGAGAGAGCUCUGCAUUCCAAACGAUCUGGUCUGGCUGCCAGAAGCUGUGUGUAGGGUGAGAGCCUGGAGGACCUGGGUGGCCUGCUGUCUUCCAAUUGAGAGACCGAAAGCUAAGGGAGACCUAUUUCCGGAGUGAUUUGUAAUACCUGAGUGGACUGCUUUCUGGAUGGAAUGCUGGGACUCGGUCUCCCCAGGGCUGAC